rnacentral:rRNA from 1 species
UACGGAAGAUGCGAGCGUUAUCCGGAUUUAUUGGGUUUAAAGGGAGCGUAGGCCGGCGGUUAAGUCAGCGGUAAAAUAGUGUGGCUCAACCAUACUCCGCCGUUGAUACUGGCCGCCUUGAGUGUAUUCAAGGCAGAUGGAAUUCGUGGUGUAGCGGUGAAAUGCUUAGAUAUCACGAAGAACUCCGAUUGCGAAGGCAGUCUGCUGGGUUACAACUGACGCUGAGGCUCGAAAGUGCGGGUAUCAAACAGG